rnacentral:rRNA from 1 species
UCCUAUUAUUUACCCGGUGAUUGUUUGUUUGGUUUUAGGUUGGGGUGACCGCGGAGUAUAAGAUAUCCUCCAUGAAAAAAAGCUAACUGCCCUUAUUAGAGAAAGACACUUCCAAAAAAUAAUAAAUUAAUUUUAAAUGAUCCGACAUUCGAUCAACGAACCAAGUUACCCUGGGGAUAACAGCGCAAUCCGUCCCGAGAGCCCCUAUCGACAGGCGGGUUUACGACCUCGAUGUUGGAUCAGGGUAUCCCAGUGGUGCAGCAGCUACUAAAGGUUCGUUUGUUCAACGAUUA